rnacentral:rRNA from 1 species
UACGUAGGUGGCAAGCGUUGUCCGGAUUUAUUGGGCGUAAAGCGCGCGCAGGUGGUGCGGUAAGUCUGCCGUGAAAUCUCCCGGCUCAACUGGGAGGGGGCGGUGGAGACUGCCGGACUGGAGGGACCUAGAGGCCGGUGGAAUUCCCGGUGGAGUGGUGAAAUGCGUAGAGAUCGGGAGGAACACCAGUGGCGAAGGCGGCCGGCUGGGGGGUGCCCCUGAGCUGAGGCG